UACGUAGGUGGCAAGCGUUGUUCGGAUUUACUGGGCGUAAAGGGCGCGUAGGCGGCCUGUGCAAGUCAGUUGUGAAAUCUCCGGGCUUAACUCGGAACGGUCAACUGAUACUGCUCGGCUAGAGUGCGGAAGGGGCAACUGGAAUUCCUGGUGUAGCGGUGGAAUGCGCAGAUAUCAGGAGGAACACCGGUGGCGAAGGCGGGAUCCUGGGCCAGUACUGACGCUGAGGAGCGAAAGCGUGGGGAGCAAACAGG
rnacentral:rRNA from 1 species